rnacentral:rRNA from 1 species
GUGUCAGCCGCCGCGGUAAUACGUAGGUGGCAAGCGUUGUCCGGAUUUAUUGGGCGUAAAGCGAGCGCAGGCGGUUUCUUAAGUCUGAUGUGAAAGCCCCCGGCUCAACCGGGGAGGGUCAUUGGAAACUGGGAGACUUGAGUGCAGAAGAGGAGAGUGGAAUUCCAUGUGUAGCGGUGAAAUGCGUAGAUAUAUGGAGGAACACCAGUGGCGAAGGCGGCUCUCUGGUCUGUAACUGACGCUGAGGCUCGAAAGCGUGGGGAGCAAACAGGAUUAGAUACCCUGGUAGUCCACGCCGUAAACGAUGAGUGCUAAGUGUUGGAGGGUUUCCGCCCUUCAGUGCUGCAGCAAACGCAUUAAGCACUCCGCCUGGGGAGUACGACCGCAAGGUUGAA